rnacentral:rRNA from 1 species
GAUCAGCAUGCCGCGUGUGUGAAGAAGGCCUUCGGGUUGUAAAGCACUUUUGUCAGGAACGAAACAGUGGGGGCUAAUACCUCCUGCUAAUGACGGUACCUGAAGAAUAAGCACCGGCUAACUACGUGCCAGCAGCCGCGGUAAUACGUAGGGUGCGAGCGUUAAUCGGAAUUACUGGGCGUAAAGCGUGCGCAGGCGGUUGUGCAAGACAGAUGUGAAAUCCCCGGGCUUAACCUGGGAAUGGCAUUUGUGACUGCACGGCUAGAGUGUGUCAGAGGGGGGUAGAAUUCCACGUGUAGCAGUGAAAUGCGUAGAUAUGUGGAGGAAUACCGAUGGCGAAGGCAGCCCCCUGGGAUAACACUGACGCUCAGGCACGAAAGCGUGGGGAGCAAACAGGAUUAGAUACCCUGGUAGUCCACGCCCUAAACGAUGUCAACUAGUUGUCGGGUCUUAAUUGACUUGGUAACGCAGCUAACGCGUGAAGUUGACCGCCUGGGGAGUACGGUCGCAAGAUUAAAACUCAAAGGAAUUGACGGGGACCCGCACAAGCGGUGGAUGAUGUGGAUUAAUUCGAUGCAACGCGAAAAACCUUA